GACGAACGCUGGCGGCGUGCUUAACACAUGCAAGUCGAACGGAAAGGCCCUGCUUUUGUGGGGUGCUCGAGUGGCGAACGGGUGAGUAACACGUGAGUAACCUGCCCUUUACUUUGGGAUAACUUCAGGAAACUGGGGCUAAUACCGGAUAGGAGCUCCUGCUGCAUGGUGGGGGUUGGAAUGUUUCGGCGGUUGGGGAUGGACUCGCGGCUUAUCAGCUUGUUGGUGGGGUAGUGGCUUACCAAGGCUUUGACGGGUAGCCGGCCUGAGAGGGUGACCGGCCACAUUGGGACUGAGAUACGGCCCAGACUCCUACGGGAGGCAGCAGUGGGGAAUAUUGCACAAUGGGCGGAAGCCUGAUGCAGCAACGCCGCGUGCGGGAUGACGGCCUUCGGGUUGUAAACCGCUUUCGCCUGUGACGAAGCGUGAGUGACGGUAAUGGGUAAAGAAGCACCGGCUAACUACGUG
rnacentral:rRNA from 1 species